GCAGCACUCUGGGGCAUCUCCACCAUGGCCUGGGCUCUGUUCCUUGUCACCCUCCUCACUCAGGGCACAGGAUCCUGGGCCCAGUCAGCCCUGACUCAGCCUCCCUCGGUGUCGAGACUGGGACACCAUCUCCUGCACUGGAACCAGCAGCAACAUUGGGAGCUAUAACUAAGUAUUGCUCUUUUCAGGGUCCUGGGCCCAGUCUGCCGUGACUCAGCCUCCCUCAGUGUCUGGGACUCUGGGACAGACGGUCACCAUCUCCUGCGC